rnacentral:rRNA from 1 species
AUUGAACGCUGGCGGCAGGCCUAACACAUGCAAGUCGAACGGUAACAGGAAGCAGCUUGCUGCUUUGCUGACGAGUGGCGGACGGGUGAGUCAUGUCUGGGAAACUUCCUGAUGGAGGGGGAUCACUACUGGAAACGGUAGCUCAUACCGCAUACCGUCGCAAGACCAAAGAGGGGGACCUUCGGGCCUCUUGCCAUCUGAUGUGCCCCGAUGGGAUUAGCUAGUAGGUGGGGUAACGGCUCACCCAGGCGACGAUCCCUAGCUGGUCUGAGAGGAUGACCAGCCACACUGGAACUGAGACACGGUCCAGACUCCUACGGGAGGCAGCAGUGGGGAAUAUUGCACAAUGGGCGCAAGCCUGAUGCAGCCAUGCCGCGUGUAUGAAGAAGGCCUUCGGGUUGUAAAGUACUUUCAGCGGGGAAGAAGGGAGUAAAGUUAAUACCUUUGCGCAUUGACGUUACCCGAAGAAGAAGCACCGGCUAACUCCGUG